rnacentral:tRNA from 1 species
GGGCGAGUAGCUCAAUGGUUAGAGUACGUGCUUUACACGCACGGGGUUACAGGUCCGAGUCCUGUCUCGCCCA